rnacentral:rRNA from 1 species
UACGAAGGGGGCUAGCGUUGCUCGGAAUCACUGGGCGUAAAGGGUGCGUAGGCGGGUCUUUAAGUCAGGGGUGAAAUCCUGGAGCUCAACUCCAGAACUGCCUUUGAUACUGGCGAUCUCGAGUCCGGGAGAGGUGAGUGGAACUCCGAGUGUAGAGGUGAAAUUCGUAGAUAUUCGGAAGAACACCAGUGGCGAAGGCGGCUCACUGGCCCGGUACUGACGCUGAGGUGCGAAGGCGUGGGGAGCAAACAGG